GACGAACGCUGGCGGCGUGCUUAACACAUGCCAGUCGAACGGAAAGGCCCUGCUCUUGUGGGGCGCUCGAGUGGCGAACGGGUGAGUAACACGUGUGUAACACGCACUUGACCUUGGGAUAACUUCAGGAAACUGGGGCUAAUAUCGGAUAGGAGCUCCUGCAGCGUGGUGGGGGUUGGAAAGAUUCGGUGGUUGUGGAUGGACUCGCGGCUUAUCGGCUUGUUGGUGGGGUAGUGGCGUACGAAGGCUUUGACGGGUAGCCGGCCUGGGAGGGUGACCGGCCACAUUGGUACUACGAUACGGCGCAGACUCCUACGUGAGGCAGCAGGGGGGAAUAUUGCACAAUGGGCGGAAGCCUGAUGCAGCAACGCCGCGUGCGUGAUGACGGCCUUCGGGUUGUAAACCGCUUUCGCCUGUGACGAAGCGUGAGUGACGGUAAUGGGUAAAGAAGCACCGGCUAACUACGUG
rnacentral:rRNA from 1 species